UACGUAGGGUCCGAGCGUUGUCCGGAAUUACUGGGCGUAAAGAGCUCGUAGGUGGUUUGUCGCGUUGUUCGUGAAAACUCACAGCUCAACUGUGGGCGUGCGGGCGAUACGGGCAGACUGGAGUACUGCAGGGGAGACUGGAAUUCCUGGUGUAGCGGUGGAAUGCGCAGAUAUCAGGAGGAACACCGGUGGCGAAGGCGGGUCUCUGGGCAGUAACUGACGCUGAGGAGCGAAAGCGUGGGGAGCGAGCAGG
rnacentral:rRNA from 1 species